rnacentral:lncRNA from 10 species
CGGCAGAUCAAGAGCAUCUCAUCCUCCGGCUGCUGAGUCAUCCUGCUCUGGCAGUUAUUUAAACAGAAGGCUCCAGGAGACAUACAAUCAACACUCCACUCAGACAAUGCCCAGACCUCCAGAAACCAUGUGUCAAGCUCGGAUUGCCUUAGACAGGUGCAAUUUAAGAACAGCUUUCAUCCUCUUUUCUCUCAUAUUGUCACACUAUGUGUUCUGACUUCUGGCUCCUUUCCUCACAAGAAGCUCACCCAGCUGGAACUCUUAUGGGACCUUGGCACCAGAGACCACAAAUUCCUCUUUGAAGUUUUCUAACAGCAACAAUGGUAUUUCUGACUUGGCUUUCUUGUAUUUCUCUCACGUUAACAAAAUUGGUUCAGCAUCUACCAUGGGCUACAUGCUGAGCUACAGAGUUUCGCUCUGUCGCCCAGGCUGGAGUGCAGUGGCGCGCGAUCUCGGUUCACUGCAAGCUCCACCUCCCGGGUUCACGCCAUUCUCCUGCCUCAGCCUCCUGAGUAGCUGGGACUACAGGCGCCCGCCACCACACCCAGGAAUCCAACUUGCUGUUUGCUAUCACAUGUGCUAUACAUGCUGUUGAUGAAACUGCUAAAGGGGCUGAAUGUGACUGACGUCUUUGGAAGGAUGAGACUUAGCGUGCCUGUACAGUUGUGUCCAAAUGCUGUCCUCAUCUCCCAAUGAAAAGCUGAACUAGGGCCAUGCCUGGGACAGACAGAGAAUGGCCUUCCAGCAGACAUGCCAAGAAGCAAGCCAGGGUCAGUGAGUGAAGAGGAGGGCAGGCCCAUUUGAAGCAACACAGUUUAUAUACAUGAAAAGAAAGAAGGAGAGAAGGAAGAAAGGAGGGCGGAAGGAAAGGAAGAAGGGAGAGAAGAAGAGAAGAAAGAAGCAGAGAAAGGAAGAGAAAAGAAAUUACGGCCAGUGCGGUGGCUCACGCCUGUAAUCCUAGCACUUUGGGAGGCCUAAGCGGGCUGAUCACCUGAGGUCAGGAGUUCGUAAGCCAGCCUGGCCAACAUGGUGAAACCCUAUCUCUACUAAAAAUACAAAAAUCAGCAGGGCAUGGUGGUGCGUGCCUGUAAUCCCAGCUACCUGGGAGGCUGAGGUAGGAGAAUCGCUGGAACCCGAGAGGCGGAGGCUGCAGUGAGUUGAGAUCAUGUCACUGCACUCCAGGCUGGGCAACAGAGUGAGACUCUGUCUCAGAAAAAAAAAAAAAGAAAGAAAGAAAGAAAGAAAGUUACCAUUAGUUUUUUGUUGUAUUUGCAAGCAAAGACAAAAGCACCAAGGUACUUGUUUCCUUCUGUAAUUAGAGUUUCAAAUAGACUAAAAGUUUCUGCUCUUAGGUGGGUCUAGAGACUCUCCAGUACCUCAGGACCUCAGGACACAUGGGGUCUCUUGGUUGUUUUCUUUUCAUUGUUGUUGUUUAUUUUAUUUUUGUUUUUAUUUUUUAACUUUAAAACAAUUUUUUGUAGAUGAAUAUGCUUACAUAUGUUUGGGGGUUUUUUUGAGACAGGGUCUUGCUCUGUUGCCCAGGCUGGAGAGCGGUGGUUUAACCACAGCUCACUGCAGCCUCGACCUCCCAAGGUAGGGACUGCAGGUGUGUACACUGGGGUGCACCACCACACCCAGCUAAUUUUUAAAUUUUUUUUUGUAGAUAUUGUCUCACUCUGUUGGCCAGACUGGUCUUGAAAUCCUGGGCUCGAGCAAUUCUCCUGCCUCGGCCUCGUAACGCGUUAGGAUUACAAGCGUGAACACCGCACCUGGCCAGCAUGUGGUCUCUUAACCAGAGGAGGCCUCUUCUGAACUAGGUAGAGGUCCUGAGAAUUGAUUCUGAGAGUAAAAGGCUCUUUGUUCUCCUCAGAGUAGAUUAGAAUCCCUAAUGAUAGAGCAUCUAUUAUUCCUCUAGUGGUCCAUGCCCAACAGAUUCAUCCAAGAAUAGAUGAAGAUCUUUGUAAUGUUGUGCAAGUAAUCUAAUCACCCCACAGAAGAGCUGUGACUUAAAUUAUCCCAGAGUCGGCCCACCUGUUUUCAUAAAGAUCAAUGUAACUUGUAAAUUUCUUCAGUUCUCCUCACCUAUCAUCAUUUGACUAACAAAACCCAGAAAACUAGGCUAGUUAUGGUGGCCUAUGCAUAUAAUCCCAACUCUUUGAGAGGCCAGGGUGGGUGGAUUGCUUGAGUCCAGGAAUUCGAGACCAGCCUGGGCAACAAAGGGAGACCCUGCCUAUAUCCCAGCUAUGCAGGAGGCGAGGCCAGAGGAUUGCCUGAGCCUCAGAGGUUGAGGCUGUAGUGAGCCAUGAUUGCCCCACUACACUCCAGCCUGGAUGACAGAGUGAGACCCUGCCUUAAAAAUAAUAAUAAUAGUAAUAAUAUUUCAUAAAGAUACAGGAAACUAGAUUAUAAUUGACAUUUUCAAAGUGAAAUACUGUCUAGAAUGGUGCUUGGCCAACAGUAAGCUUUUUGUAAGUGGAAGUCAUUACUACUACUAUUUCUUUCAUUAUUAUUACCAUUACUACUUUUUUUUACAAAAAAAAAACCCUGGACAACACACUGAAACCAUUACUACUUCUACUACUAUAACUUAGGUUGCACCUGAUAGAGCCAGCAAUUUUUCCAAGGUAUGACAAUGGCCAUAUGUUUAAUGAUAUAAUUCUAUGGCUCAGUGUAUCUCAGCCUUUUUAAACCCUGCUCUUCUUUUGACAAUUGUAAAAAUCUUAAACUGACCUCCAGUUGAAAUCCUCUGUCAAGAAGAUAUUGUCGGCCAGGGGCGGUGGCUCACACCUGUAAUCCCAGCACUUUUGGAGGCCGAGGUGGGAGGAUCACUUGAGGUUAGGAGUUCAAGACCAGCCUGGCCAACAUAGUGAAACCCCAUCUCUACUAAAAAUACAAAAAUUAGGCAGGCAUGGUGGUGUGUGCCUGUAAUCCCAGCUACUCAGGAGGCUGAGGUAGGAGAAUUGCUUGAACCUGGCAGGGCAGAGGUUGCAGCAAGCCGAGAUCACGCCACUGCUCUCCAGCCUGGGUGAGACUGUCUCAAAAAAAAAAAAAAAAAAGAAAGAAAGUAAGAAAAAGAAGAAAUCCCAAUCUCUUCUUUUAUGUGGAUUCUUCCUCACUUGAAUAAUACUUUUCUUCCCCAGUAUUCUCCAUAUUAUCCCAGAGUCAGCCCCUCUGUUUUUGUAAAGAUCUACGUAACCUCCUCUAAGUUUCCCAGUUCUCCUCACCUAUCAUAUCAUUUGGCUCAACAAAGGGCAGGAAGCUAGAUUCUAAUUGAUAUUUUGAGGCCGGGAGCAGUGGCUCAUGCCUGUAAUCACAGCACUUUGGGAGGCUGAGGCGGGCAGAUCACUGGAGGUCAGGAGUUCGAGACCAGCCUGGCCAAUAUGGUGAAACCUCGUCUCUACUAAAAAUACAAAAAAUUAGCCAGGCUUGGUGGCUUGUACCUGUAAUCCCAGCUACUCAGGAGGCUGAGGCAGGAGAAUAGCUUAAACCUGGGAGGAAGAGGUUGCAGUGAGCCGAGAUUGCUCAAUUGCACCCCAGCCUGGGUGACAGAGCAAAACUCCAUCUCAAAAACAAACAAACGAACAAACCUGAUAUUUUCAAAAUUGAGGCAAUUAUAACAGCUAUUUAGCCAAGCAUUAUGAUAGCAAUAAUAGCAAGAAAAUAAAUUAGUUAACAAAUGAGUCUCAGAAGCCCAAUGAUUUUUAUUUUAUUUUUAUUUUUUGAACUUUUAUUUUAGAAUCAGGGGAUACAUGUGCAGGUUUGUUACCCGGGUAUAUUGCAUGAUGCUGAGUUUUGGAGUAUGCAUGAAUCCAACCUGUCAUCCAGGUAGUGAGUAUAGUACCCAACAGAUAGUUUUUUUAACAUUUACUUCACUCCCUUCCCCAAUCUUGUAUUCCCCUGUGUCUACUGUUCCCAUUUUUAUGACUGUGCCAACAAUAAUUUUUUUUCUUUUUUCUUUAAAUAGAGAUGGGGGUCUCUAUUUAAAGAGCCUCCCAAAGUGCUAGGAUUACAGGUGUGAUCCAUUGCACCUGGCCCAUGCCAACAAUAUUUGAAACCCUUAUCUGCGUGUACAAGUUUGCUACUGGUUUUGUUUUGCUCAUUAAUACAUCCCAAGCAUCUAUACCUGGCUUGUAGUACCAGCAUGUAGUAGGUGCUUAAUAAAUAUUUAUUGAAUAAAUAAAUUAGUUUGACAUUAGUUUAACAUCUCAAGUAAAACAAAAUACCAUUCAAUUAAUUCUCUUCUUCUACUUUUUUCUUUUAAGAGAGACAAAUAGUCACACAUACAUCAGCAGGAGAGGAUACAAUUUCCUGUGUUUAAGUUUUUAUGAGUUACUUUAGUUCAAAUGUCACAGAAAAUUAUAUUGAACUCUUGACCAAUCUAUCUAUUUUUUCCAUUGGAGUAUUGACCCAAAUAAGAAAUAGCAUAAAGGAAAAAUUAUUUUUUGGCAGAAAAAUAUUCUCUCUAAAUUCUUGUGUGUUUUGUUUUGAUUUUUUCCUUAGUGACUGGAGGCCAGUUUCAAUCCACUGAAGCACAGAUUCCAAAUUUUCAAUCUGGUUUUCUUGAGUAGUGACUGAGUGCCAAAAAUGAAGCAAUGACACAACAUCACCAUCAAGACACUCCCCAGCACGCACACACAUGCCAGAGUCCAACACCAAGAUACUCCCCAGCACGCACACACACGCCAGAGUCCAGGCCAUAUUCGGGUGGCUUGCAAGCUUCUUCCCCCCAAGUAUUUACUCUCAAAAUAAUGGUUUUUGUUUUGUUUUGGUUUGGUUUGGUUUGUUUUUUUCCAAAUACAUUUCUUCCCUAUAUCUUUAACCAAUUCUCAUAAAAUUUUGUCUAAUACACUGGUCAGUGUAUUCCAGACCCUAAAAGAUAACAUAAUGAAACUAUCUAUGACUAAAAGGUAAUCAGGAUCUUCUACUUAUCCUUUUUUCCUCCCUCUUAAACUUUAAUUUUGAUACAUUUGGGAGUGAAAUGAUGACAAUAAAUGCAAAGUAAUUAUUGAAGAAACAGUAAUUUUGUAUUAGCUUACUGAAAAAAAAAAAAAAGAUAACCAAAUAUAUUUUGGCAGCCCCAAACGAGUCACAUGUGAAAUGCAGUGGGAGAGCAGUGUCCUGAAGGAAAAGGUGGCCUGCUGGACAGCCAAGAGAACAAACAUCCACUGCAAGUAAUAUGAGCUCUAAGUUUGGACUAGGCCUAUGUCUGCUCUGAGACUUGGGGCAAUUCACUUAAUCAGAGCCUUAAUCAGCUACGGACUAGCAAUAUCCAUACCCGCUACUUAUUUUGUAAAUCUCCUUUCUAAAGUUAACUCUAUUUAUUGUUCCAUAAUCCCAUAAAUUCUAGAAUCUUUUCCUGUUAUAGCCAAGUUGUCUAUCAUUGACAGAGAUAUUCACCUGGUUGUUUUGGCUUCUCUAAUCCUCCUGGUGAGAACACCUCCAAGGGAGCUUUCAGUGGCAUUUAAGGUCACUUGUGCUCUUGGUCCUAGAAACUGCCUUGAUAGUGGUUUUAGCUCACAUGAGGUAAGUCUUUAUUAUAUGCCCAACCUCUUUAUGCAUUACUUCAUUUAAUUGUAUACUAAUCCUUUGUCAUAGGUUAUCAGAGUGUUUGAUUAUAAGUUACAGGAAGAAAAAAAAAAACAAACUCCAAUUGACUAAAACAAUGGGGCAUUUUUUGACUCACAUAACAGAGAGUCUAGAGAGAAGGCACCUUCAGGUUUGGCUGAUGAAUCCUGUAUCUCUGCCUUGUCUCCAGGCCCCCAGGUUCUGCCUCUGUCCUGACAUCCAGUGUUGGAUUCCUCUUCACAUCAACUCCUCUCUGUAGGUUGGGCCAUCAGACCCUACCUCCUUAUUUAUGUUGAGCAAAGGAGAGAGAAUGCCUCUACAAACAAUGAAAAAAGUGAAAAAAAAAAUCUUUCUCCUCCUUAUAACUUUAGUUAGCUUAACUUUAGUCAGUUGCUUAGCUACUAAACAGUAGCUAUUGGGAGGUGGGAAGGAAUACUAUUGUGUAAUCAACUAAGGCUCAUACAGAGGAUUAGGGUUAUCUGAAUUGAUUUGAAUUAAUUAGAAUUUACUCUCAGAGCUGUGGCAAUUCCUUGAACCACACUGAUUGCUAUAAAGUGGAAGAGGAAUAGAUUGAAUUUUGGGGAGUCAACUACAAUGUGUACUACAGGUAAAUACUAUGAAUUUCCAAUUCACAGAUGAGAAAACUGAGGCAUGUGGUGGGAGGGAGGUUAUGUAAUUUGCCCAGUGUCACAGUUGAACCUAGGCAAAGGCCUAUCUCCAGGUCUAAACAAUUCAGUGGCCUCCUGUGUACAUUUCUGUCUCUCCUUUUUUAUCCACUGUGUCACCGAGGCUGGAUUGCAGUGGCUCGAUCAUGGAGAUCAUGGCUUUCUGUAGCCUUGAACUCCUGGGCUCAAGUGAUCCUCCUGCCUCAGCUUCCUGAGUGGCUGGGACUACAGGCUUGACAACACACCCGGCUAUCCCGUGUAUAUUUCUUGAGGGCUUAUGAUAUAUAAGAGAAACUCCAAAAUAAGAGGACGGUGUGCUAAGGGGAAGACCAAAGCACUAUCAAGAGGUAGAUUCAAUCGUACCCCUUCUAUUUACUAGUUGUGUGACUCUUUUGAAAAUGAGAAUAAUAGGCCAGGCUCGGUGGCUCCUGCCUGUAAUCCCAGCACUUUGGGAGGCUGAGGCAGGUAGAUCACCUGAGGUUAGAAGUUCAAGACCAGCCUAGCCAACAUGGCAAAACCCCAUCUCUAUUAAAAAUACAAAAAUUAGCCGGGAAUGGCAGCAUGUGCCUGUAGUUCCGGCUACUCAGGAGGCUGAGGCAGGAGAAUCACUUGAACCCAGGAGGCAGAGGUUGCAGUGAGCCGAGAUUGCGCUACUGCACUUCAGCCUGGGUGACAGCGAGACUCCAUCUCAAAAAAAAAAAAAAAGGAAGAAAAGAAAAGAAAAUGGGAAUAAUAAAACUUACUUACUGGAGCAGUAGCAAAGAUUAAAAUUUAGACCAUGCAGAAGAAUGUUUUUCAAAAUGACAUGACCUGGUAAUAGGAUAGAAAUGCAAAUUCCUGUUACUGCACCAGACCCACCAAAUAAGAAACUCUGGGGAUGGGACCCAGGACUAAGUACUUUAAUAAGCACUCCAGGUGAUUCUAAUGAUUGUUAAAGUUUGAGAACCACUGGUCUAACACAUUGCCUGGUACAUAAGCUCUUAUUUUGUUGUUAUUGUUCUAAGGACAAUGUGUGUAUUGACUUCUAUUUCCAGGAGUUCAUGACUUGGAGAACUAGGGAAAGGAAGACAAAAAUUCUUUAAUGCAGAACGAUACUGAUUGAUAAAUACCUGAAUAUAAUACAGGUUAAAUGUGCUUUGAAGAUUUAUAAAAGGUUGAAUUUAUUUCCAGCAAGAUGACUCUCAGAAGCCUUUAUAGAUUAGAGAAGAAAUGGAAAGGGGUAAAAAUAAUUAGGAACUAUAAAGCAGGGCAGACAAGUUUUCAAUGGUUACUGCCAAUGUGUAUACAGAAAGUUAGCUUGGCCAGGCAAAGUGGCUCAUGCUUGUAAUAUCAGCACUUUGGGAGGCCAAGGCGGGCAGGUCACCUGAGAUCAGGAGUUUGAGACCAGCCUGACCAACAUGGUGAAACUCUAUCUCUACUAAAAAUACACAAUUAGCCCAGCAUGGUAGAGCAUGCCUGUAAUCCCAGCUACUCAGGAGGCUGAGGCAGGAGAAUCGCUUGUACUUGGGAGGCAAAGGCUGCAGUGAGCUGAGAUCGUGCCAUUGCACUCCAUCCUGGGAAACAAGGGUGAAACUCCGUCUCCAGAAAAAAAAAAGUUACCUUGAAAUAUAUCAAUACAAACAAAUAAAUUAGAUAUUUCAUAUUGUACAGGAACAAAACCCAUCAGAAGAUGUCAGAAGAUAAGGAUUUUUGUCCUGAUGCUACACUUACCAGCUGUCCCUCAGUGUUCUACUUCUUAAAAAAAGAGAGGUUGGUCCUGAUCCCUGGUUCUUAACCAGGGGAAAAUGAAGUGGGGCCAGGGCAUGUGCAGACUUAAAAAUUACACAGGGUGAACACCUAAUUAAUGAAAGGAAAACAUUUGUAAUAUGUAGCAACUAAAAUGUCACCUUCUCUGUGGGGAUCACAAAGUCCUUGGCAAUCACUUCCAUACCAGACAAGUGAGUAUUGUCCUUCUCCUUUUCCAGAUGGAUAAACAGAGGCAACCCGAGGAUAAAGGCCUUGCUCAGUGUCACACAUUUCAGUCACUAAAUAAGACACAAUGGAUGCCAGUAUUCUCAUCCCCUCACAAAUAAAGAGCCUUCAAGCUCUUGCAGUCAACAAGAACUUUUGGAAUGAUUUCACUGCCUGAAAAGGCAGAUACAUAGGUGACACCCACAAAUAGGAAGAAAAUCAACCUGAACCUGAGUGUGUGGGCUCACUGACUCUAAGCAGUAGAGACAGAAGAAAAAGUUUUAGCAAAGAAGGGUUCUGAAAGAAAAUAAAUAUAGCUCGUUAUCAAGUGCUGUUUUUACACAGUAAAACAUGGGCAAAAUUACUCUUCUUUAAGUAGUAAUUCUUAUCUCUUGAUUAAGUCACCUACUCAUUCAUUUAAUAAAUACAUACUGAUUGUUUUCUAUGUGUUGAGCACUCAUCUCUGUAUUGGAAAUAUAAUAAUGACCAAAGUUGACAAUAGUAAUAACAAUAAUAGCUAAUAUAGCAGGCACUAAUAAUUAUUUGUUGAGUAAUAUGUCAAAAUUCAGUGUGAACAGCAUUCUAUUUGGGGCUGCAUCCACUGACUAUAACACAGCUAAUCUAUCUGAAAUGUUCCAGCUUUGGGCCUCUCUAACAGAAGAAGCUGUUGUUGGGCCUGCCUCUAGUUGGCGAUGCAUCCACCAAUGAGAAUGAAUUUAUGAUCGACCACUCUUCCUGUAAAGGCCGCUGGAACUGACAGCAUUGUGAUUUUCUUUUACUGUUAGUUUUAAAUUACUAGAACCAACUCAAUUACUAGAACGAACUUUACUUCUUUGUUUCCUACUUAUCAAAACAGUAAAAACAACAAGUAAAAGAAAUGCCAUCUUAAUAUUGUUUUGAUGACAAAACAGUAUUCCUUUUAGUUGUGCUUCAAAUGGAAUAAGAUGCAAACAGGCUUGGUAUGGUGGCUCACCCCUGUAAUCCCAGCCCUUUGGGAGGCCAAGGUGGAAGGAUUGCUUGAGGCCAUGAGUUUGAGACCAGCCUGCGCAACAUAGCAAGACCGUGUCUCUACAAAAAAUAAAAAAUUAGCUGAGUGUAGUGGUGUGUGCUUGUGGUCCCAGCUACUUUUGAGGCUGAGGAGGGAGAAUCUCUUGAGCCCAGAAGGUCGAAGUUGCAGUGAGCCGUGAUCGUGCCAUUGCUCUCCAGCUUGGACAACAAAGCAAGACCCUAUGUCAAAAAAUAAAUAAAUAAAAGACAUAAACAUAUCUGAGAUUAACUUUCAGUGGUAAAUUUGUUCCAUAUAUGAUUUUUAAGGUUAAAUGCUUUGGAAGCUUUAAAAACCAUUUCAGCCCUUUUAAAUGCCAACUUACACUGAUGAUGCUCUCAGAUGUUAGGAAAUCUUUUGAGCAGAAAAUGGAAGUGGGGGUGUUGAGGCAGGGAGGAGAGUGAUGCAAUAUUCCUUAGUGUCAUCCUGUGAUUUCACAAUUUGUUUUUCAAUCUGUUUGGACUUUCAAAAGGGAAGACUCUCAUAUGUCAACAAGCCCAUGAACUGAAGCUUAAAACACUGGAAACAACAACUGUAGAGUUUCAAGUAUAUGUACAUUUAUGUAUUCAUGUUCCUUGAUGGGAAUGCUGGCUGGUGUGAAUGUUCAAUCUCCUGAGAAAUGUAAAUUUUUCUCUGACAGAUUUAUUAGCUUGCUGUAUCUGAGCACAUGAGCAAAAACAAUGCCUAAUAAGAAAACUUUCUCUCUCCUUCAAAGUCAAACUUGGGAGAAAUGAAGGGAAAUCGAGUUUUCUUUGCUUGACAGUGUUCAACAUUCUUGUAGUCAGUGUGCUCAUGAAGAUUGCAAACUUUUUUUUUUUUUUAGAGCAGCUAGGACUACAGGCGCGCACCACCACACCCAGCUAAUUUGUGUAUUUUUAGUAGAGAUGGGGUUUUAACUAUGUUGGCCAAGCUUGUCUCAAACUCCUGACCUCAAGUGAUCCAUUCGACAGCUCUUUCUUUUUUUUUUUUUUUUUUGAGACAAAGUCUCGCUCUGUCACCCAGGCUGGAGUGCAGUGGUAUGAUCUCAGCUCACUGCAACCUCCGCCUCCUGGGUUCAAGCAAUUCUCAUGCCUUAGCCUCCCGAAU